rnacentral:rRNA from 1 species
GUGUCAGCAGCCGCGGUAAUACGGAGGGGGCUAGCGUUGUUCGGAAUUACUGGGCGUAAAGGGCGCGUAGGCGGCCGGUCAAGUCAGGCGUGAAAGGCCCGGGCUCAACCUGGGAACGGCGUUUGAGACUGAUCGGCUGGAGACCGGGAGAGGCGAGUGGAAUUCCCAGUGUAGAGGUGAAAUUCGUAGAUAUUGGGAAGAACACCGGUGGCGAAGGCGGCUCGCUGGCCCGGGUCUGACGCUGAGGCGCGAAAGCGUGGGGAGCAAACAGGAUUAGAUACCCUGGUAGUCCACGCCGUAAACGAUGUCGGCCAGACGUCGGGGGGCCUAGCCCUUCGGUGUCGCAGCUAACGCGUUAAGCCGACCGCCUGGGGAGUACGGCCGCAAGGUUAAAACUUAAAUGAAUUGACGGGG